GGGGAAUAUUGCACAAUGGGCGAAAGCCUGAUGCAGCAACGCCGCGUGAGGGAAGACGGUUUUCGGAUUGUAAACCUCUGUUUUCGGUGACGAACAAAUGACGGUAACCGAGUAGGAAGCCACGGCUAACUACGUGCCAGCAGCCGCGGUAAAACGUAGGUGGCAAGCGUUGUCCGGAAUUACUGGGUGUAAAGGGAGCGCAGGCGGAAGGACAAGUUGGAAGUGAAACCCACGGGCUCAGCCCGUGAACUGCUUUCAAAACUGUUUUUCUUGAGUGGUGUAGAGGUAGGCGGAAUUCCCGGUGUAGCGGUGGAAUGCGUAGAUAUCGGGAGGAACACCAGUGGCGAAGGCGGCCUACUGGGCACUAACUGACGCUGAGGCUCGAAAGCAUGGGUAGCAAACAGGAUUAGAUACCCUGGUAGU
rnacentral:rRNA from 1 species